rnacentral:rRNA from 1 species
UUACGGGCCGCACCAGUGGGGAAUAUUGCACAAUGGGCGCAAGCCUGAUGCAGCCAUGCCGCGUGUAUGAAGAAGGCCUUCGGGUUGUAAAGUACUUUCAGCGGGGAGGAAGGGAGUAAAGUUAAUACCUUUGCUCAUUGACGUUACCCGCAGAAGGAGCACCGGCUAACUCCGUGCCAGCAGCCGCGGUAAUACGGAGGGUGCAAGCGUUAAUCGGAAUUACUGGGCGUAAAGCGCACGCAGGCGGUUUGUUAAGUCAGAUGUGAAAUCCCCGGGCUCAACCUGGGAACUGCAUCUGAUACUGGCAAGCUUGAGUCUCGUAGAGGGGGGUAGAAUUCCAGGUGUAGCGGUGAAAUGCGUAGAGAUCUGGAGGAAUACCGGUGGCGAAGGCGGCCCCCUGGACGAAGACUGACGCUCAGGUGCGAAAGCGUGGGGAGCAAACAGGAUUAGAUACCCGGGUAGUC